AGAGUUUGAUCCUGGCUCAGGACGAACGCUGGCGGCGUGCUUAACACAUGCAAGUGGAGCGACGAACCAGGGCUUGCCCUGGGGCAGAGCCGCGAACGGGUGAGUAACACGUGGGUUACCUGCCCCGAUGACCGGGACAACCCGAGGAAACUCGGGCUAAUACCGGACGUGGUCUUCGGACGAAAGGAAGCUUCGGCCUCCGCAUCGGGAUGGGCCCGCGGCGCAUUAGCUUGUUGGUGGGGUAAUGGCCUACCAAGGCUUCGAUGCGUAGCUGGUCUGAGAGGACGAUCAGCCACACUGGGACUGAGACACGGCCCAGACUCCUACGGGAGGCAGCAGUGGGGAAUCUUGCGCAAUGCGCGAAAGCGUGACGCAGCAACGCCGCGUGGGGGAAGAAGGCCUUCGGGUUGUAAACCUCUUUCAGUUGGGACGAAGCUUCGUCGGUGAACAGCCGGCCGAAGUGACGGUACCUUCAGAAGAAGCCCCGGCUAACUACGUGCCAGCAGCCGCGGUAAUACGUAGGGGGCAAGCGUUGUCCGGAAUCAUUGGGCGUAAAGAGCGUGUAGGCGGCCCGGAAGUCCGCCUGUG
rnacentral:rRNA from 1 species